CCCCAGCCCACCCCCCUUCACCUCCACCCCUCAGCCCAGGCCCCUUCACCUCCACCCCCCAGCCCACCCCCCUUCACCUCCACCCCCCAGCCCAGGGACUCUACUCUCCUCUAAACCAACCCAACCCUCCCCCCCACACCCACUCCCUCAUUCAGUGGGUCCCGACCCCACCCACACAACACUGGCAACUGGCGUGCGUGCGAGUUGUGUAGGGGCUGGUGACGGAGGCCGGACCACUCCUAAGGACUACUUGUGUGUGGGAGCGAAACAGAGACUGCCCUCUUCACCCUCAGUACUCCUAAGCAUAUCUCCAACCCCCCCGACCCCGCCUCUCAAUUCAAACACUGUCUAGAACCCAACUCUAUCUUUGGGCCAACAGUCACACGGAGCUAAGCUGCUGCAGGUAUACAUGUGAGCGUCAGCUUAUCUCUGGUUUAGUGUGUGUGUGUGUGUGUGUUUAGUUUAUACUGUACAACGUGCGUGCGUGUUUUGUAUAGUAUAUCCCCUCUGUACUCUCUACUUGUACCCCAUUGUGCCUAUAAAUAGCCAUUGCACUGUUGGUAGCAUACUCUUACCUGAUAGGCUGAGCUCGCUGCUGUGGAUUGGCCGAGCUGUCCAGAGCGCAUCUGAGGACAGGAAGUGCUUACACAGGAGUGGGAGGGGCUAGGUUCUCUGCUCCACAGUCUCAUUGGUGCUUACCACAGAUAGCUACGGUCACUCCUGCUGCUGUUGCCAUGGGUUCCGCCUCUUAGCAACCCUGGAGUCACGUGUGUUCGGGGGAAGAGCCAGCUGUUCUCUGGUGCCUCUGUCUAUCAGACAGGCUGUGGGAGUCAUUGUAGCAAAGGCCACGGAGCUUUCGUCACUGAAUUAGACAACAAGAAAAGAAAAGAAAGAUGGCGGAGGGAAGUACGAUGCACCUUUAUUCUAAUGACCGACCAAAGAUGAAUUGAACUGCUGUCAAAGUCCCUGGAUCUGAUCUUACCCACAAUCCUCUCUGUCGUCCUCUCAUACCGCCAGUGAACCCAAACGUCUCUUUGAACAAUAAGCGGACGAGGAAGUGUGAAUUCAAUCAAUCUUUUAUUUUAUUUUGUAAUGUUCCCCCUCACGUCCGUCACCAGAUGACUGGAGUUUCCCAUGACGUGUGAAUAGAAUGUUACGAAUCUGACCGUCACUGAAUCACUGCUUUCUGUUAACGGAGAAGCUGAUUGGGUAAGAGCUGGGAUCACUAAGUGACUGAAAGCUCUCAUUGGUCAGCCUUUAGCUCCGCAGCCUAUUGAUGUGUGUGUCUGUGUGUGUGUGUGUGUCCAGUGGAAGUGUCCUCCAUGCCUUCUCCAUGCCUCCUGAUUUGUCUGUUGCGUAGCAACCCAGCAUACCCUCCCAGAACCAACUAGUCAGCCUCAAAGACUCAAAGCUAAAAAAAAAAAAAAAAAACACGAUCUUAAAAGUGUGUUUUCUUGUUCCGUUUUGUACAUCAAGGCCAGCUUCCCAGUUGGAACACUGCCUUUUUUUCCCGAUUGUCCGAUCCCAAAGGGGUCACACCACGCUGUAGCCUAUCAGUGGUCUUUCUUGAGCGUCAUGGAAACGCUACAUUGCACUGUGCUGGAUUGGAGCGAGCAUGUUGGCGUGUCCCGAGGAGAAGGAAAGAAGACGCUGCACCUUAUCGAUGAUUGUUUACUUAUUAUUGAUUACUUAUGGAAAUGUGAUCGAGAGCUUUGUUCGUGAGCUUAGAUCUGUGAAGCCUUUGGGUUUGGAGGGUUCCCGUACAGCGCUAAAUCAACCGUGCCGGGGUGAAGCCGAAUCCUGAAGCGAAGUAUAGCUACUUACUAAAUAAAUCAAUUAUUUGAAACAAAAUACUGAUAAAAAAAAAAAAAUUGUUUCAUGGAUUUCUAAAAUUAUUUUAUUGCUUCUGCAAAAAGGGGUUGUUAUAUUCAGAAGUGCGUCCAUAGCAGCGGUCUGUUAUUCAUGAACACAUAAUAAUGUAUUCAUAAAUAACAGACCGUACAAUGCUGUAAUUGUAUUCAACAAAGUUGUGAAAUAAAGGGUUUUUGAUGUCAUAGAGAAUAGAUAUGUGUGGUUAGUUCCCUGGGUCUGGAAACAGACAACAUGUUGUGUAUGAACCCUGCUUCUAAUAUGUACACUGUCAGAAACAAAGUUCUUUAAAGGGGUUCUCUUAUUGUUUACAGUCAGGAGAACCUUCUGGGGAACUCUAUAGGAACCUUUUGCUGUGGGAUUUCAGCUAGAACCCUGUAUUGGUGAAAUGGCACCACCUGUAACUUGUGUUUUGUGUGAUGAAAUAGUUCUGUGUGGAACCAAUUUGUUUAGUUUUAUAUUUGUUGAGGGUUGGGGGGGGGGGGUCUGCUUCCGGGAGCAGUCUGCUGAAGCUCGUCCCAACAGGAAGGUGUCAUGCUCUGACUAGCAGGCCUGGAUCCAAAAGAUACUCGCAAUUCUUCAAAAUGACCUAUCUGUGCUUGAUUGUUCUUGCCUGGCACAGUAGAACACCGAGAACUGUCUGAUGUGCUCAUAAAGCACAAAGGCACGAGAACACAGAGCCAUUUCCUUGAUGUUGUGCAACCUAACUAUGACCACGGCCUAGACUUGACUGGUCCACCAGGAACAGCAACCUCUCUCUGGUCCUUGCUCGGUCCACAGGUCCAACAAACUUCUAAAAGAUGAGAGAGGAGAUUUAAUAAUGCACAAAUGACCAAAUCUGAUCGGCCAGUCAGGGCGGUCCAGGCCUUUGAAGUUUGUAAGCCAUGUGCGUGUGGCAGAUUGCCAUGGCGAUGUUAAGCAAUACCAUUCUGUUGUUUUUCUUAUUUGCUAUGUGAACCAACAUUGAAGAAAUUCCAGGCUGCGUUCCAGUGGCAGUGUUCUUAAAAAACAAUGUUCGUCGCUAUGGAAACUCCAUGUUUGGCUUUACCGGUGGUUGAAACUGAGCAGUUGAACCCUUUUGUACGGUUCUUUUCUCCCUUGUCAGCUGUUGAUCUAACAGUGAACAAGGUCAAAUCAUAUUCCGUUGUGUCCCGCUGAAACCAAACCUGGGUCCAUCCAUUCAUCCAUGUGUGACCUCCUGUCUGCUUCCUGUUCCGGGGGACGGGGGGACGGUUCAUGUUUGUAGGAACAGUUUGUCGUGUUUCUGACAAAGUGUUGCAGCUGUAGUGAAAGCAACACUAAGCUCUAUAAGCAAAACCACAAAGACAGAUGGCCCGGAGGAUUCCAGAGAAGGAAUCCAGUCAGAUGAGCUAGCAGGCAGGCUCACCUCCACUCUCCGAUGAGCUAGCAGGCAGGCUUACCUCCACUCUCCGAUGAGCUAGCAGGCAGGCUUACCUCCACUCUCCAAUGAGCUAGCAGGCAGGCUCACCUCCACUCUCCGAUGAGCUAGCAGGCAGGCUUACCUCCACUCUCUCCGAUGAGCUAGCAGGCAGGCUUACCUCCACUCUCAGAUGCACGUCACACCAAACCAAACACUGUUGGUGCUUGUUGGUGUUUGUUUGGGCAGUGUGAACUGGUCUUUAGAGAUGUGAUUCUCUACUGUUCUGUGGGUGAACGACAGCAGCCGGAACAAGGAGGGAAGGGCGCAGGACAGGAUACCAGGCAAGGUCUGUGGUUCGAGUAAAAACAGGGCCUAGGAAUCUUAUUCCUUAUUCCUUAUCUAUGAAUCUCAUCCCUACAACCCCUGCUAAAAGGACUGUGUGCUGUAUGUAUUUAUGUAGGCUACAUGUGUUGGGCCAUAGACAGGAUCUAUGGCUCUCCUCUACAGAUCCCUCUUUCUUCCUAUAACUGUCACAAGAUCCCUCGCUGGCAAAACCCCUAAACCUUCACGUGCUCUAGAAGAAGAGGGGGGGUCAGAUGGCUGAGCGGUUAGGGAGUCGGGCUAUUAAUCAGAAGGUUGUUGGUUCGAUUCUCGGCCGUGCAAAAUGACGUGUCCUUGGGCAAGGCACUUCAACCUACUUGCCUCGGGGAGAAUGUCCCUGUACUUACUGUAAGUCGCUCUGGAUAAGAGCGUCUGCUAAAUGACUAAAUGUAAAUGUAACAACAGGAACAGAUUUAUUUUCUCCAACGUUCAUCCUAUUUUCCGUUAAUGUGCACAAACGUUGAGGGUCAUUGAAGUUUAGGUUUUUCGUGGGCUUUAAAGGGAUAUUUCACUCUUUUUUGGGGGAGGGGGGGUUGGGUCCAUGCGUAGCGGAGGUUUCACCUUCCCUCGUCCCUUGUAGACGUGUUUCUGGUUGCAACUGUUCGCGCCCUGCGUUGUGACAGAGAAGUCAACCCUCAGAGCUGGACGAUAUUGAGUGAAAGUUUGUUUCCAUUCAGUUAGAGGGGUUCUGCCCACCAACCGAUAAGAGAGUGCAUCACACUGACUCAUCUACAAGUUCGACCACUGUGAGGGUACAAACGCGUCUGGUUUUGGGUGGAUUGUUCCUUUAAUUGUGCAAGACUAUCGCCUGGGAGGGGCCGUUCUUGGCAAGGCAAUCUAUGCUCGGCUUGCAUUCCUGCCUCUACUCUUCCUGGAACUGCCCUGUUUACGUGUACCUGGAACAGAGAGGCAGGCCUCGCUAGCCGAUCCAGAGAACACAGGCAGAUCAGGCCUAGCUAGCCGAUCCAGAGAACACAGGCAGAUCAGGCCUCGCUAGCCGAUCCAGAGAACACAGGCAGAUCAGGCCUCGCUAGCCGAUCCAGAGCACCCAUACAAGCAGAUCGGCACUCACAGGGUCAUAUUGUUGACACUAGAUCCUAAACUGACCUUCUUCUACCUACCGGUGAAUACAGACUAUGCUGGUCCUAGAUCUGAAAUAAGAUGUGUUUGUGUGUUUGCGAGGGCAGUUGAAGGAAACCAAUCGUUCACAAAAUCCUUUUCUCAGAUGGCACUGAAUAGUGUGAUUUUACACCCUUUAUUUCCUGACUAGCAAUGAAAAUAGCAAAGCUAGCUGGUCUCACUGACUCGUUUUUCCCUAGAAAUGGUCACUGCCUUUUUCAAACACAAAGAAUGUUCACAAAGAAAGUUCCAGAAUGCCACAGAGAACUUGGUACAAGGGCUCAAUUCUGUACGACUGUUUGAACUAGACUAAAGCACUGUAAUACUUACCGUGAAACAUCCGAUGCCAUAUUUAUACUCUGUGAGGGUUGACACCCAGGAACAGUAUUCUCAUUUUGUUAUAGAACAUUUUGGGGGGCAUUUUGAGAUUUUGUGUUGAAAAUAUAAGUCAAACACACAAUCUGUUCAGCCACAUUCAAAUCCAAUCAAGUGCACCUAACUCAUUUUCAGAUUAAGUCAAACGCACCUUGUGGGUUUUGCAACCAAGAUCUGGAUCAGGUCUAACCUCUUCUACAUUCCUCCCUGUGGAAGGAUCAUCUGAAAAAAACGAACAUUUUCAGAACCAUUUCCUGUCUUCUGAUAGACCUGACAGAACCUGUGAUUGGUUGUUGUUGAAGUCAGAACCUGUGAUUGGUUGUUGUUGAAGACAGAACCUGUGAUUGGUCGUUGUUGAAGACAGAACCUGUGAUUGGUCGUUAUUGAACGGUUUAACCGGGACUACAAAAACGGUUCCACCGUGGCUCUUACGGUGUGUAGGCCCUAACUGACGUGGCACGGUGCCAGCUCUCAUUCUGAAGGUGCCCCGUGAUGGGGGUGGGGGGGGGGGGGGUAAGAGGACGCCGGUGGGACGAUGCUGACCCCGGUCUGGCCUCCCUGCUCUGCCUCCUACCACAUUGUCCUCCUCCACACACAGCAAGGGGCUCUCGUGUUUCAAAGAUAAGAGGGCCGCCCAGGCAGUCAUAAGCAAGGACACUUGGGGCCCCCCCUGAGUGCCCUGGUUAUCCAACCCUCACACACUGACACACACUGACACACACACACACUGACACACACACACUGACACACACUGACACACACACACUGACACACACUGACACACACACACUGACACACACUGACACACACACACUGACAUUCCCGUGUGUGAGUUAUAAUGGCCUGAUCUGACGAAGAGCCAUACAAUAGCAGACUGUCGUCAAACACCGGUGAGCCGACCUUAGUCUCCUCCUCUCGGCCUCCUCUCCUGCUGCCUGGGCCUCGAGGACUGUGCUUGUACCAGUCCCAUUCCCUAACGUGCGUCAGAGGGAUCAAUCUCCUGCUAGACUGUUGAGCAGGACCAUGUGACUAAAUACCAAAACCAGAGAUUUGUUUCAAAGUGUUUCCUCUGUGGUGUAAAGUGAUAAGGAACAUCAAGGUGCGGGAAGAGGAAGUCGUAGAACACAAAAUGCAGUGUUGUGUGUCAUACCAUUCCAGAACGCCGUGUCAUAUACUGUACAGCAAAAAAAAAGAAAAAAAAACCUUCUCUCUUUGUCUCUAUCAUACAAAUCCUCACCUCUAAUUUUUCACUACUUCUGUUUUCAUUAAACCCAGUUAUUAGAAUACUACAAGACAAUAGCGCUUUGGUCUUGCGAUGUUCGAUAACCUCUAUGUACAUCUACUUUCACAGUUAGUAAGCAUAUUGGAAAGAGAAUCGGUAGUCAAAAAGCAACAAGAAAAAAAAAUGCCGUAAAUAGAAGCCUAAUAUUUUUUGUUUUGUGUGAGCUGUACACCUGUAUAAUGUAUAUUUUAAUAUUUAUAUGCAGCUGUCGUAUUAAAGUAUAUUUUUAAAGUAAA